GCUGCGAGGAGCCCCCGCGUGUCCGCCAUAUUGGUGCCCGCGCCGCAGCCGCUGCGCCUUGUUCCUCCAUCUCCUCCCGGCGCGGCCCAGCGGAGCCCGACGGGGGAGGGGACGUCGGCGCCGCCGGGCGGGAAGCGGGGGCGAGGAGACCGCGCGCCGCCGGGAGGAGACGGAAACGAGCGGGGCCCGCGUCCCUCCGCGCCCGCCCCCUGCGCCACCCGCCAUGGCGAGGAGGCCCGGCGGCUCCUGAGCGCGGCGCGCACGCACAGAGCGAGCCGAGCCCCGGCCCGGCCGCCAUCAGCGGAGAGAAGCCGCCCGGCCCCCGCCUCGGCCGCGACAUGGAGGCCGUGAAGGCCUUUAACAGCGAGUUGUACUCACUGAAUGAUUAUAAGCCACCCAUUUCUAAAGCUAAAAUGACACAGAUCACCAAGGCAGCAAUCAAGGCUAUAAAGUUCUACAAGCAUGUUGUGCAGAGUGUUGAGAAAUUCAUUCAGAAGUGCAAACCAGAAUACAAGGUGCCUGGUCUGUACGUCAUUGAUUCGAUUGUGAGGCAGUCCCGGCAUCAGUUUGGGCAAGAGAAGGAUGUAUUUGCUCCAAGAUUCAGCAAUAACAUCAUCAGCACUUUUCAGAACUUGUAUCGUUGUCCUGGGGAUGACAAGAGUAAAAUUGUCAGAGUGCUAAACUUAUGGCAGAAAAAUAACGUGUUCAAGAGUGAAAUUAUUCAGCCUCUUUUGGAUAUGGCAGCAGGAAUUCCUCCACCAGUUGUGACCCCCGUCUUGCCCAGUACUACUGCUGCUAUGAGCAACAAUACACCAGGAACACCUGUGACUCCAGUUACUCCAGCCAAUGUGGUGCAAAGUUUACCUGAUCCUUGGGUAUCUCAGAUUGCUAAUACAGAUACGCUUGCUGCUGUUGCCCAGAUUUUACAGAGUCCCCAAGGCCAACAGCUUCAGCAGUUGAUACAGACGCUGCAGAUACAGCAGCAGAAACCGCAGCCUUCACUACUUCAAGCCCUGGAUGCUGGUCUUGUCGUUCAGUUACAGGCCCUAACUGCACAACUUACAGCUGCAGCUGCUGCUGCCAAUACACUUAAUCCGUUGGAACAGAGUGUCUCUUUUAAUAAGAAGCUGAUGGACAGAUUUGACUUUGGGGAAGAAUCUGAACAAAAUGAAGAGUCUAAGAAGGAAACUCCCACUUCCCAACUGCCAUUAGUACCAGAAUCUGUGAACAACUCACUUUUUCACCAACUAGCUGAACAAUUGCAGCAACAAAAUUUAGAACAUCUCAGACAACAACUUCUGGAGCAACAGCAGCCUCAAAAGGCAAGCCCUGAGGAAAAUCAGGAAGGGAAUUUUGGUUCAGAACACUCUGCAUCACCUUCACAAGGGAGCAGUCAACAGCAGUUUUUAGAAGCAGAAACAAAUGUAGAUGAUUCAAUGGAUAUUCAACAACAGGACAUGGACAUAGAUGAAGGACAGGAUGUUGCUGAAGAGGAGAUUUUUGAACAAGAAGAAAAAAAAUCUGCUGUUCGUUCAAGAUCAAGAACUCGUUCAAGAUCUCGUUCAAGGUCACCAAGGAAAAGAAGGUCUAGAUCACGAUCUGGUUCUCGUAAGCGCAAACACAGGAAGCGUUCACGCUCAAGAUCAAGAGAAAGGAAGAGAAAGUCAUCUCGGUCCUACUCCAGUGAAAGAAGGGCUAGGGAAAGGGAAAAAGAACGUCAGAAAAAGGGAUUGCCUCCAAUACGGUCAAAAACACUAAGUGUUUGCAGCACUACUCUUUGGGUAGGUCAAGUAGACAAGAAGGCAACACAGCAAGAUUUGACCAACUUGUUUGAAGAAUUUGGACAAAUAGAAUCUAUUAAUAUGAUUCCCCCAAGAGGUUGUGCAUAUGUCUGCAUGGUUCAUAGACAAGAUGCAUAUCGUGCUCUUCAGAAGCUUAGUUCUGGGUCCUACAAAAUUGGAUCUAAAAUUAUUAAGAUUGCCUGGGCUUUAAAUAAAGGUGUGAAAACAGAGUAUAAGCAAUUCUGGGAUGUGGACCUGGGAGUUUCAUAUAUUCCUUGGGAGAAGGUAAAACUGGAUGAUUUGGAGGGCUUUGCUGAAGGUGGCAUGAUUGAUCAGGAGACAGUAAAUACAGAAUGGGAAACAGCAAGGAGCUCAGAGCCUCCUAAAGAAAAUAUUCAAACUACGCAGAGUACUGCAGUUGAUAAGAGCACAGUGAUUACAACACAGACAGAAGCUUACACACAGCCAGUCACUAUGCUACAGAUUCCAGUAGCUCCGGCUGUGCCUGCAGUUAGCUUAGUUCCACCUGCAUUUCCUGUCACAAUGUCUGUCCCUCCUCCUGGUUAUAGUGCCAUUCCUCCUCCACCCUUCUUGCGAGCAAGUUUCAAUCCUUCACAGCCACCUCCAGGUUUUAUGCCUCCCCCAGUUCCUCCUGUUGUUCCUCCUCCUGUUGUCCCACCACCUGUUGUCCCACCAGUUGUUCCAACAUCUUUAGUACAGCCUCCAUUACCAAUUGCUCAAGAGACGAUGAAGGAUGUACCUUUUACUGGCCUGGUUCUACCAGUUGUUGGCACAGUUAGUAGCAAUCUAGCUACUCCAACAUUAUCUUCUGGAAGCAUCUUUAAUCCUCUGCCAGUCAACAAACAAGAACCUGAUGAAAAGGGAUCUCAUCUUGCAGACCUUCAGAUUUCUUCCAGUGAAAAUGGUAGAGCUGUGCAAAGUGAUGUCUCAAGUAGCUCUGGACUUGUUGGAGGAAUGCAGCCACCCAGUGUCUCAAGCAGUUCUGGGUUAACUGUAGAAGGCCAGCCACCCAGUGUCUCAAGCAGCUCUGGACUUGCAGGCGGAGUACAGCCACCCAGUGUCUCAAGCAGCUCUGGACUUGGAGGAGGAGUGCAACCACCAACUGUUUCAAGCAGUUCUGGUCUUGCCGGAGGAGUGCAACUACCCAGUGUCUCCAGUAGCUCUUCUCUUGCAGGAGGAGUUCAGCCAACCAGCGUCUCGAGCAGCUCUGGACUUAUGGCUGGAGUGCAACCACCAAAUGUCUCAAGUAGCUCAGGGCUUCUAGCUGGAGUGCAUCCACCCAAUAUCUCAAGCAGCCCUGGCCUUCUACCAGGAAUGCAGCCUCCCAGUGUUUCGAGUAGCUCAGGAGUUCUGGCAGGAGUACAGCCACCGAGUGUCUCAAACAACUCUGGUCUUCUCCUAAUGCCACCACCGAAUGUUUCAAGUAGUUCUGGACUUAUGGGAGUGCCACCACCAAAUAUUUCAAGUAACUCUGGACUUCUGGCAAUACAGCACCCAGCUGGUGUUCAAAGUAUGCCUCAUUUAAAUAUUAGUAGUCAAAGGAUGCCAGGAAUGCCUCUCAUAGAUAUCCGUCCAGGCCUAAUGCCCCAUUCACCUGGACCAAGGUUUCCAUUAAUGCAGCCAGGAAUACCACCACAGCGUAGUAUUCCUCCUCCAGCAAUCCUUGAUCCAUCUCUUCACCCUCCGCCUCGAGGUCCUUUUCCUCCAGGAGAUAUUUUUAAUCAAACAGAAAGACCUUUUGCAACACCAGGAAGACAAAAUAUUGAUAGCAUUUCUAAUCCAGAGAAAAGGUUACCACUUGGAGGCGAUAAUAUUCAGCAGGAGGGAGACAGAGAUUAUCGCUUUCCUCCAGUGGAAAACCGAGAUAAUCUCAACAGACCAUCCCAAGUGGAUGUCAGAGAUUCUGUUGGACGACCACCAGUUGAUCCACGAGAGGGCAUAGGAAGACCUCCAGUAGAUGGAAGAGAACAUUUUGCAAGACCUCAUGUUGACAUGAGAGAAAAUUUUGGAAGACCAGGUAUAGAUAAUCUUGGUCGAAGAGAGCAUUUUGCUUUCAAUUCAGAUAAGCACUGGGGACAAAGAGGAGAUUAUGAUGAAAGAGAGCACCAUGCCUUUCCUAUUUAUGGUGGCCCUAAAGGCUUCCAUGAGGACAGAGAGAGAUUUCGGCAUGUAAACUAUAGGUUUGAUAGUAGAAGUGGUCCCAGCUGGAACAGAGGAUUUGAACAAGAUGCUCACAGAGAUUUUGAUGACCGCAGAAGACCCUGGGAAAGACAGAGGGACAGGGAUGACAGAGAUUUUAACUUCUGCAGAGAAAUCAAUGGAAACAGGUUUGGAAGAGACAGAAUGUCAAACAACUGGAUCCCCCCUCCACACCCACGGGUUUUUGAAUACUUUGAUGGGGCCACUUCCCAACGCAAAGCGGAUAAUUUGCCCCAGGUGAACGGUGAAAAUACAGAGACAGAAAGUCAACCACCAACUGCACAGGUGCAGGACGAUCCAGAACUUUAUGAAAAACUGACAUCUUCCGUCGAGAUAAACAAAGAGAAGAGUGACACAGAAGCUGAUAUAGAAAGUGAACCAGUGGUAGAAAGCACAGAAACUGAGGGGACAUAAUCAUCACUCAGUAGAAAUCAGGGGGCUUUGUGUUUUGGUGGCUUAAUACUGAAGGAGAAAAUCUUGUUAAAUUGCUGAGAGGAAUUGGCUGCUUAGACUGAACAGCCUGGACUCUCACAGCCUUUUCUCAUAGAAGAGGUGUUUCAGCCCUCUGAUCAUCCUUGUGAUCCUCCUCUGGACUUGCUCCAACAGAUCUGUGUCUCUCUUGUGUUGGCACCCCUGGAUCUGAAGAUAAUGCCUGCAGGUGAUGUCUGACAACAGUGGAGUAGAGAGCAUCAGACAGUCAGUUAUGUCACUUUAUCUGGUUUCUCUACUUUUAACGCAGCCCAGGAUAAAAUUGGCUUCCUGGGCUGCAAACACAAAUUGUGUGAAGAUUUUCAUCCACCAGUACCCUCUCAUAAUUUUCUUCAGGACUGUCAGCAUGUUCAUCCGUUCUGUACUGAUUUGAGAUUGCACCAGCUCAGAUGCAGCAGCUUGUACUUGUCCCUGUUGAAUUUCAUGAGGUUCAUGUGGGCCCAUUUCUCAAGUCUGUCCAUGUCCCUGUAGAUUGCAUCCCUUCUCUCUAAGGUAUUACCAACACCACUCAGCUUGGCGUCACCCACAAACUUGCAGAGGGUUCAUUUGAUGCCACUGUCCAUAUCACCAAUGGAGAUAUUAAACAGUAUCAAUCCUCAUGGAUUGUCCCAUGAGGGAUAAUACUCAUCAUUAGUCUGCCUGUGGACAUCGAGCUAUUGACUAGAAUCUUUGAAUGUGACCAUUCAGCCAAUUUAUCCAUGCAAUAGUCCAUCCAUUAAUUCCGUGUCUGUCUAAUUUGGAGAUGAGAAUGUUAUGUGGGACCAUAUCAAAGUUGACAUCAAGAUGACAUCAGUUGCUCUUCGCUUUAUCCAUCAGUGCUGUCACUGUCAUAGAAGGCCACCAAAUUAGGCAUGCAUGAUUUGUCCUUUUUGAAGCUAUGCUGGCCAUCUCUAAUCACCUUCCUGUCUUCUGUAUGCCUUGACAUGGUUUCCAGGAAGAUCUGCUUCAUGAUCUUACUGAGUGUUGGAGUGAGGCUGUCUGAUCUGUAGUUACACUUCUUAAAAAUGGGUGCUAUGUUUCCCGUUUUCAACUUACCAGGUACUUCCCCUGACUUAUGAAAGGUGAUGGAUAAUGGCUUAGCAACUUUAUCUGCCAGUUCCUUCAUUGCCUCAUCUUCUGCAUGUAGCAAUUAAAAGUUCUUAUGCUCUUAGAAGAAUAUCUUUCAGUAUCUGCCAGCUCCUUUAUCUCCUGAGAUAUUCUCCCAGGAGGUCCUAUAUCCACCUUUAGCAGCUGAAAGUUUGCCUCCCUGAGAUCGUUACUAUAUUUUUAGGCCAGACUAAAUUCCUCAAGAACAUGAAUCCUACCAGGAUAUAAUCACUGCAGCCCAGGCUACCUCCAGUCUUGAUUUCUCAAGUAAGUUCCUGUGCAUCAAUGAUCAGCAGAUCCGAUGACACUUUAAAGUGCUCAUUUUGUUGAUAGAUUUUCCACUAAGUCAAACCUUCGGAUCAUUUAAUUUGAAACUGGUAAAAAUUUCAUUAUUUUUGAUUCCAGUAAUAUAGUCUUCAAAUAACAACAACCAAAAAAUGGCUUUUCUAUUUUAAUGGGAUUUUCUGUUUUACUUAAUGGAAUUUUCUAUUUUAAAGGAAUCUUAACAGUAAGAAUUUUAAAACAUAAAGUGUCAGAAGAUACUGAGAGUAACUAGGACAAUUUUAUUGUUGCUAAGUAAGAUGAUAAAGGGAUCUUUCUCUAUUGAUCAGCUGAAUUGCAAUUAGCUACAUUUGCCUUUCAAGUGCUGAGGUUUCACGUGUAAAGAUGUACUGAGAAGCCAUCUACUUCUUGUGUAGCUGAGAGAGACUGAAAAAAUAUGGAAGCAGAAUCUCUUAAUUUUGCUGCAAAAUUUCAAACUUUGUUGUUGUUGUUUUAAUUUGAAGCCAUUUAAGUGGACAAGAAUUGCAAAAAGGUUGGACUUUUGUUUACUUUUUUUCUCUCCAGGGGCAAAUUUUAUAUCAUGUUGCAACUAGCCUUAUAUUUCUCCUUGAAGGAUCAUCUUGAUGGUAUUCAUCCCACAAAGUUUGUGCAAGCACUUUGAGUACUCAAUAUUUUGAAGUUUUGUUAUAUCUUGUAAUCAAGAAAGAUUAGAUAGAGCUACUAAAAACAAAAUCUGUAGCACCUCUUUAAGAGUAGUAACUUUUAGGGAAGGUGCAUAAGGUCUGGAAAGUGAUUCUUGAAAGCAGUAGGAUACUUAAUAGUUGAGUUGGUGGUUUUUUGUUCUUUGUUUCUCUGAAGUUGAUAAACUGUAAAACUGUAUUUGCCAAAAUUAUUGUAUUCCGUUCUAUUUUGCACAGACUUCAUGAAAAGGGGAAGUUUCAUUGAGCUUCUACUGUUACUAUCUUACAGAUGUUCAGCUACCAUGGAUUAGAGGAAGGCAAAGUCUGAUGUGUGCACUCUUAAAACUCAAGUAAUAGCUUGAUUGAUUGAUGUGCAGUUGAAGAUGACUGUAUUUCUCUUUUUAAGAAGUUUAAAAUGCACUUGCAUUGAAACAGUGCAGUCUGUUUAGUAAUCUUAUUCUGUAGUUUGUCAUUUGUCUUUUAAAGUUAACUCCCUAAUUCUAGUUUUAAUUCUCUUCUUAUAAAACUAAAUCACACUGAUUCCUUUAGGUGAGGAAUUUAUUUUGUUCUUUACAGAUAAAGUCUUCUCAAGUAGUAUUUCAACCUGUUGAAAAUUCUAGCAGACACUAUGAAUUGGACCUAAUACAAGCAAUAGUUAGAUAAUGUCCAAGAAGGAAUAGCUUGCCAACCUAGAUUGAUAUCAAAUAAAACAAAAUGGGAAUAAAACUUUCUUUUUUAGAUUUAAUGAAAAUUAAUACAUACAUUCUGAUUAAACAUUCACUCAGUAAGAAGCAAGCAUCCAAAGAUAUUACUAGUCCGGAGCAUUUUCCCAAAUGUUGUUCAUAUGACAAAAGAAAAAAAGGAAAGCUAGGAAGGGUCAGAUCGAUGUGUAAAUAUUUGUAAGUUUACAGUAUCUUGGAAAAAUGACUUGAUAGAAACAUGAAUACAUCGAUCGCUUUUGGCUCUUUUUAAGUAUUAGGUGCUGCAGAACACAGAAGGCUCCAGGUAAAGAGUGAACCAACUUGUCUGGAAGAAAUGGGUGGAACUGAGAUGUUAGUGUAAAAUCCAAGAGUUACAUUGCCUUGCUUUUGUUACUCCAGUCUGAAUGCUGAUUAGAGGAUGCUCAAAUUUGUUGCAUUUUCAAUUACUUCUGGUGUUCAGGUGUAUGACCAAUACAGACACAGUAAGUGACAAGUUGUGAAUGAUGAGGUUGGUGGCCCUGCGUGUGGCAAGGUAGCUGGAACUUGGUGAUCCUUGGGGCCGCUUCUAACCCAAGCCAUUCUAUGAUUCUAAGACCAGUUGUUUACCUGUGAGAUUUUGCCAUUGGCUUCACUGAAUCCGGAAUUUCAGACUCUGUCCAGGUGUUUUCUCUUCAGCAGCCAUUAGAAAAGCUAAGGUGCUAGAUUAUCUGGUUCUAGUUUCAUUUUCUGAUUUCUACUCUUUAAAGCCUAAAGCCCUCUAAGAGGUAGAAUGUGUUUGUUUUUAUGAUUUAAUUCAUAAGAAAGUAUUCAUAAGAAGUAUUCAUGACAUCUCUGUUAAAGGCUGUUCCAAGAUUCUGAGAGUAGAAUGGUAUGAAAUGUGCAAUCUAUGAGAGUAGAUGUAUGAAAUAUUUGAAAAAACUGCAGGUGUUGUACUUGUAUAAUCCUCAGCAGGAUAAUUUAUGAAGUGAAAGAAAGAAAGCUAGUUAAACACGCUGAUCUUACCUUCUUUCUCGUUCCAAAUGACCUUGUUUCUAAAGAGGUCUUUUCAGUGCUGCAUGCAGAGGAGCCCCAUACUACAUGGUCACUGUUCUUUGUUUAGAAUCCAAUAUGUAUGCACUGGUUUUCUUUUCUCCAUCUUCUUACUGCUUUUUGGAAAGGUUGGGAUUUAUAUUUAAGUAGCUUUACCAUCAAAGAAUUUAAAAAAAAAAAAAAAAUGCACUACGUUAAUAAUUUUUUCUUAUUUCAUUUGAGAAUGCACUGCCCAGUUCUUCUCUAUGAAUUUCCUUUUCCAACAAAUUCUUGCAUUUCUGUUUGACCAGAAUAGAAAU